rnacentral:lncRNA from 1 species
AGUAGUGCGCUUUCUCGCGGCUGUCAUAAGUACCACGCUGUUGACUGGGACACCGAUCUCCAAUUCUGUCCUUGAGGCAAUAAAGAUGUGGCGAAGGCCCGAGGUGAGGCCACUGCCACUGCACUUAGUCCUGCGACUCCCCUAAGGACGGGCCGAGGAAUGGCGGGCUAGCCACUUCCCAGUCCUGUCCCUACGGGGCAGAAAAAGGCUCGGCAUCCCGGGAUCCGGAGGGUCACUUCCCUCGCUGCAUCCCCAUUGUGCAACUGCCAGUCUAAAAAUUGAUAUAGGUAAGCUUAUGAAUGCUAAAACUAAUGAAUGCAAGAUGCUAAAACAAACAAUUAACUGAAAGGUUGUAGGGAAGAGGAUGUUAGUAUCUCAAAGAAUCACCCUACAGAUCAUUUCUUAUUAUAAAGGGAAAAUAGAAUUUUACACUGAAGAGAUUUAUUAGACAUACCUUAACCAAGUGAAGAUACUUAGCAUCGCUAAUAUCACCCGAUAGUAUUUGUGCUAGAAAUGUUUGACAUUAAUCAUGAGGAAACAAUCAGAAAAAAACAAUGUAGAAUAUUCUACAAGACAACAGGCCUAGGCUCUUCAAAAAUGUCAGUGUCAUGACAGGAAAAAGAAAAAAACGAAGUGGAAAAUUACUUUAGUCGAGAGUCAAAAGAAACCAAAUGAAAUUUGUGAAUCUUGGCUGGUUCAUAGUUUUUAAAAAAAAAAAAAAACUUCGAAAGACAUUUGUGGACAACUGGGGAAAUUUAAAUAUGAACUACAUAUUAGAUGAUAUUGAAUCAGUUUUAAAUUGAUUGCAUGUGAGAAUUAAUUUGUGAUUAAGUGGAAGAAUGCCUUUGUUUUUGGAAGGCGCUUGCUAAAGUAAUUAGCAGCAAAGUGUCACAGUGUUUGCGGCUUACCUUCAAAAGAUAUGGCAAAAAAAUAGAGAAAGCAAAUGUGGCAAAA